GCCUGAUAUUCAGUCUGUGAGCUGGGAGCCUGUUGGCAGGUCCCUCUUUUUAUUUUCGCUGAGAGCUUUCUUUUACUAAAUGCCACCAUCCUUACCUUUCAAGGUGUCUGCGUGCCUAAUUUUUCCUGGUUGUUAGACAAGAACCCGGAUUUUAGUUGAACUCUGGAACAAAAAUCCUGCAUCAUUUGUAGGUAAUGUUUGUUUUCUUUGGUUGCUUUUAUGACCUUCUCUUUAUUCCUAGUAUUUGGGCAUUUCACAAAAACAUUUAUAAGUCUGAAUUAAAAAACAAACUGACCUUGCCAAGGACCCUUCUGAUCCCUUUUCAUAUAAUUCUAUCUGCUAGGUCUUGUGCUGCCUUCUAAGUUAGUUCAUCAGUUCUAUACUUCAGUAUUUAAUUCUAUAUUCAGCCAUGCUAUCAAAUGUUUAUUUCAACCUUUGAGUUUCUCAUUUGUAAUAGUAUUUUUUCAUUUUUAUGUUUUUAAAAGAGUUCUUUCCAUAUUUUACUAUUUUUGUUUAGUAACUUUCAGUACUUGAUGCAUAGAUUUUAUUUCAUCUUUAUGUUUUUGAGAUGUUUGCAUAACACAUUUAAAGACAAUUACAUAUUGUUGUAUGAUUUCCAUUUCCUUGGUCAAGAAUUCUCCCAUUUGUUGCAUCUCUGAAGAGUUUCCCAAGGUGGGUUAAUCUUGAAUAUGGUAAACUUGCUGCCCUCAGUUUUUAAGUUUUAAUACUUUAUCAGUUGUUUCUUGUUCUUUUUUUUUUCUGGGCAUAUUAUUACAUCAUUCGAAAAUAAUGACAAUUUUGGCCUUUCUCUUCGAGAUUUUGUAAUUCAUUUUCUUUUCUUUUCACAUAGAAUUUGAUAAGGCCUCCAGUACUUUGUGAUAUAGUAGUUGUGGUGGUGGUCCUUCUUGUCUUACUGCUGAUCUCAAGUUUAUGUUUGUAGCAAAUUUUUGCUACAUGACUAUUACAAGUUUAAGAGGUUACCAAGAGUUUUUAUUACAAAUAUCUUAAAUCUUAGCAAAGACUAUAAAAACUGAGAUAAACAUGUUAUUCUUCUAAAUAGUAAUCAUUUAGACAAAUCACAAAUGUGAUAUCAGAUUAGUGCAUCCUACACUGUAUGGAAACUAUAAAUUCAUGAUUUUCAAAAAUUGUAGGUAAAUAUUUAUUUACAAAAUAAUUUAUCCAUCUUGCUUUACCAAAAAAGGCAAGGUCUUGUUUUUCUUUCCCUGUACAGUAGUAGUGGCUCUUUGGUGUAAAAACUUUAUAGGACCUAAAGUAAAAAAGAAGAUAAAAACCAGUUUGUCUUUCAAAGUCUUAAAAUAUUUCAUUAACCUCGUAGUACCUGAUCUCUGUCACCAAGCAAGUAGUCUGAACUAUUAUUUCCAAGCUCAAUUCAAACAGGUAAAGUUUUACUACAAUUAUAUCUGGCCAUCACUACAGUGUUUUCUCCAAUCACUUCCAAAGCCUACCCCUUUUCUUUAUCAUACUUCCACCUAUAUUGCAUAAUACAGAGCUUAGCUAGUGAGGUACAAGUGAUAAGGAUUAUCUCCCCAGAGUCUCCAGGCCUUGGUAAUUCCUAGACCACAGCACCAUGCACUAGGUUAUAGUCACAGGCCUCUAUAUAGUCUUCCACAUAUCCCAUUACAGUUUAAAUCCUAUGCAUACCCUUUAUAUCCUGCACUUAUCUGUCAAAAUUCUAAGGUAUAAGAUUUUUUUUUUACUUAUCCCUGCUGUUUAAUUUUGAAGAAAGAAAAAUAUAAAAGAAAAUUUUUUAAAAAGAGGCCUUCAUGGAUAUCAAAGAAUGCCAACAAUAAUGCUGAAAAAAGAAGUUAUUCUACAGCAAUGAGACACAAAGAAAAGAAUUUUGUAAACAUUAGCAUCUUGGUUACUGGAGAACUGUAACUUUUAUGUAGUCGUGCUUGGAAAACACUAAAAGGGAAAUACAGUCUAUUUGACAAUAUUCUGUCUUCACUGUUGUUCACUUCAUAUGUGUUGGAAUAUAAAGUUCUAUACAGUUAAUAUGAAGCUCUCUUUAGCAUUUAAAACAUUAUUUGCAUUUUCAUGAGGCAUUUUGGCUAAUUUUAUUGAUUUCCUUAUAUUUCAUAGUCCUUAGCCUUAUGAGAAUCUUAUGUUUCUGUAUGUUUUCUAUCAUGUAGCACAAUUUCUGACACACAAAACAUACAAUAAACGUGUUAAUUUUUCUAUCAAAGUCAGAAUUUAUUCAUAAGGAAUCUGAAGUAAGGUGUACUAAGCUUGUUUAUGGGUUAAGUGAUAUAGCCAAAUUCAAAACUUUACUUUUUAUGUCAGUCUAGAAAUAUCUCAGAUUAAAACAUAUCACUUCUUAGUUCCAAUUAGAUAAGGGAAAUAUUUUAUAAUAAUGCCAGGAUUGCUAUAAUCUGAUAGGAGACAACAAUUUCAUUUUGCUACAGGAAAAUUUGGAGGACAAAAAAAAAAAAAAAAAGAAAACGUAAGAUAGACAGGAGAAAAUAGUCAGAUGAAGAAGCAAAAAACACAAACAAGGCAUUUAGAUUUGUUAGGAAGGAAUUCAAGUCAGUCAGUAAAGUGAUAACUUUUGAAUUAUCUGAGAAAAAUAAACUCAGAACAAAAUCAGGAACACUAAAGGUAUCCAUAAUCCACAUAAUUUACCAGGCUAAAGGUAAGUACAAACAAAUCUACAUGGACUAAUUGUAUCACAGAACAAAAAGGGUAGCAAAAUCCAGUAAUUCCAAUGGAGUAAUAAAGUUGCAGACAAAGGAAAAUUAAUGUGUGCAUUGCUUGAGAUAUGACUAAAAUGUCAUUAAAAUAAAUUCGAAGUUAUGAAUAUUCAUUUGAAAAGUUACAAAGUACACACUGAUUUAUAUUUCAGAAGCAAGGAUAUAUGUUUCUAUAUAAUUAAGUCCUAAAUAUAGUUCAUUUCCUAUGCUAAUGCUUUUUUCCUUCUUCUUACCUUCUUAGGUCAACAACAAGAGGCCAGGACCUCCCAAGAAAAGCUUUACUAAUGUAAUAGCUUUGGCCAAGUCCACCCAAUAUAUUUUCCUCUCUGCAAAGAGAAACAAGCUAUUGUCUCAUCCUAGAUUUCCUCUUCUUCCAUGCCACUGUUAUUCAUGUUCAAAUCCUGGCUGUCCUUGAGGGUCCAAUUCAAAUGAUUAUCGCCAUUUUCUAUUAGUGUCAUUUCUUCCUAUUUUCUACCUUUUGUUAGCUAUGUUAAAGUGUUUCUUUACUAACAUCCCCCAUACAUUGUGUAACACAGUGUCUAUGGCUUACUCAUUUUUGAAUCCUUAUCAUGACCUGACAUAAUGAAGAUUCUUAGUACAUAGUGAUACAUGUAAAUAUGAGUUAAUUAGUACAUGAUAGACUUGAUUUCCAGAAUGAUUUUGUAUAGUUGAAUUGUGUAGUAAGGGGACACAUGUGAAAUGAAGACUUCAGUCAGUAUCAAGAAGAUAUUUUGGGUGACUUCACAUAUCUGCCAAUGAUAAAUCUAGAAACAAUAGGUGCUUGGGUAGGUGAUUUCCUUUUGCCUUCUUUAUCAUUGUUUUCCCAGUAUUUCUUACAUUCAUCUAAUUUCAUUAGAUGCCCAUAUACUUUAUACUGGCUCUUCCUGUGAGGUUCGAACUGGUCCAGUCCAUUUGUUUUCAGAAUUGAUUCAUCUGGAGAGUCAUCUCCUAUCCUCCCAAACAAUGAUAUAGCAGUCUGAGGACUGUGUAGAAGGGACUUCUCUUUCUACUCAGUAUGACCAAAAUAAUUCAAUUCUAGUUGUGGUGUGUGAUUUAUGAAUAUUUUGUCCUUUAGUUUGUGUGAGCCAAUUUUGUGCCAUAAGAAUUUUAGCCUCCUUUUCCACAAAAGAGUGAUUUAAUCAAACAAAAGUUGACAAUCAAUGUAGUACAUUUAUGUGACAGUAAUUAAACAUGGUGUUUUUCUCUUAGGUGUCUGAGUAGAUUUGGAAAUGCCCAUUCUGCUCUCAGAGCUCCUCUGCUUUAAGGGUAAUGGACUUCCUGUACCACUACGUAGUGCAUGAGUGCCAGCCACUGGUAUCUAGAACUGUGAUUAGUGAGGAAACACUAGGAGGAACAAACAACCCAACUCUUUUUAUCUAAUCUGUUGACUCCAAAGGGACCUUCUGCUUAUUCCAGUUAAAACUCAAGCUGCAAUUCAAAAUGAAAUCAGUAUCUUUUUUCUCUACUUGUCAGCAAAGCAAGAUGCUACCUUAUAAUUACCACGUAACAAUCAAUCGCAAACACAGUGGCUUAAAGCAGCUCCUCUUUUAGCCUACAUAUCUGCAAACCGGCAGUUUGGACUGAGCUCAGCUGGAUGUUUUUUCUGAGCUGAUCAUGUAUGUAGGGUCUGCUGCUGGCUGGUUUAGACUGAUGGUGGAUGAGAAACCACAUGAAGAAGAGAGGCAUGAUGGUGGCAGAGUUCUGAAAGAGUCACACAGAAGGCCCUUGAGUUCGUGGCUUGAAAAUAGCAUCCUGUCACUUCUACCACAUUCUAUUUACCAGGCCAGCCCAGAUAAAGAUGUGAAGAAACAGACUCCAUCUCUUGAUGGGAGAAGUUGAAAAUCAAUGGAAAAUGGCAUGGAUAAGGAAAGGAGUGAUGAUUGUGGCCAUAUUUGUAAUGGCCAUAUUUGAUACCCUUUUCAGUUUUCCUAGCCACACUUCUCAUUGGCCAGGAAAAUUAAAUGCAUGUCAACACUGAAGAAAACAGAUCUUGGUUAAAAGCAAUGAUGUAGCUAAUAUCCCAUUCAGGUAAAAGAUUACUUAUAUAGUGUGAGACAGGCAUGAGGCAGAGAAGUGCUUACGGGUUGGUUUCUGCUUUGUUAGCAGAUUUACUUUUAGAUCAUGUACUACUUUGUUGUUACUGUUUUAUUGAGAAAAAAUAACAAAUAUUUCCAAAAUUUUGCAGCAUGCAACUCAGUGCUUCAGUUGGGAUUCAAUCAAAAUUUCCUUGAAAUAAAAAAAGACAAGAGAGAGACUUGGAAUUAUGACUAUUCUACUAGAUUAGCUCAUUCAUGUCAAAAUCUGUCAAGUUUAUGAUUUAUUCAGAUAGCACUUGUUUUUGGUGUAAUAACUAAACUGUUGCUUUAGAGUCUACUACAUUCUCCUCUAUUAUUUGGCAUUUUUCUCUUUAUUAUUUUGUUCAAGUAGGAUAUUGUGCUGAGUUGAACCAUGAAAUGAAUUGUAUUGAGCAACAUCAACAACAUAAAUGUUCUGGGGUGUCAUCUGCAUUUUCAUAUCUGGCUGUUCAAAUUCUUUUUACAGCUAUAGCUUUGAUAAUAAUGUAAUAGCAUAAUGUUUUUCAUUAGAUAUCAAAUCAUAGAAGACAACAAAGAUGUGUUAAGUUAGCAUAGUUUAAUAUAAGGAAACAACAGCAUCAGUAAAAGCAUUGAGCACUAAAUAUCUCUUCCAUUUCAGUUCUUUUACAGGAAGCUUUUGUUACGUGUUGUCAGCACAUUGCUGUGAUGCUCAAGGAUGGCUCUUUAACGUGAAAACCUGGUAUUUGGGCAUGGCUUGAAGCAGGUGGGUGUCAUUGUGACUGGCUGCUACCUCCCCAUGAGUCUUCUAAAAUAAAACCUGCAAAUUCACAUCUUCCCCAUGCUUCCAGAGAAUGCAUAUUCUUCCUUUGAAAAAAGAAAACCAGCACUGUUCAUAAUACCCAAGAUUUGGAAGCCACCUAAGUGUCCAUCAACAGAUGAAUGGAGAAACUGUGGUACAUAUACACAAUGGAGUGCUAUUCAGCCAUAAAAAAGAAUGAUACUCUGUCUUCUGCAACAACAUGAAUGGAACUGGAGAUCAUUAUGUUGUUAAAUAAGCCAGACACAGAAAGACAAACAUCACAUAUUUUCACUUAUUUUUGGGAUAUAAAAGUCAAAACAAUUAAACUCAUGGAGAUAGAGAACAGAUAGACGGUUACCAGAGGCUAGGAGGAGGAGUGGUGGGGGGGAGUUAGUGAUGGUUAAUUGGUACAAAAAAAUGGUUAGAAAUAAUAAAUAAGACCUAGUAUUAGAUAGGACAACAGGAGGACUAUAGUCAAAAAUAAUUUAUUUGUACAUUUCAAAGUAACUAAAAGAGUGUAAUUGUAUUAUUUGUAGCACAUAGGAUAAAUGCUUGAGGUGACGGAUACCCCAUUUACCCUGAUGUGAUUAUUACACGUCGUAUGCCUGUACCAAAAGAUCUCAUGUACCUCAUAAAUACAUACACUUAGUAUGUACCCACACAAAUUAAAAAUUACAAAAAUUUAAAGAAAUUACAGUUUGUUGGUUUUGAAUAUUUGACCAAAUUUUUUACUAAGCACAGAUAGAUUGAAUAUAAUUUUAUUGUCCUUUUGACAUUAUGAUAAUGAAGGUAUCUACACAGAAGUCUGAGAUGAGAAAAAAAUGAUAUAAUAUCCACCUACUACACAGUGGGUAGUUUAUAUACUAAAGUUAUUGUUAUGAGAAAUAAUGGCUUAGGAAUAUUAUUUAAAAUUAUUAAGGGGUGUUAAAAAUAAAAUACCAAGUGUAAAAAUGACAAAGGCAAGAAGAAACAGUAUAUAAUGUGAGUAAAUCUUAAUCUUUUCAAGAGAGGAGACAGUACAUAAUGUCUAAAAUUGUUAAACCAUAAAAUAGAAAUAUAGUUAUUUUAUUCAUAAUUAAGGAGAUAACUACUAUAGCACGAAAUCGUGCCAAAAAUGGUUGCCUCUGGGAAAUGUGAUUAUAGAUAUUAUAAUAUUUUGGACUGUAAAAAUCUGCUUUUAAGACUGAGGAAAUACAAAUAGGACAAUAUUUAUUUGAAAUUUGUAUCCUCAGGGAAUGUAAAGAAAUUAAGGUAUCCACAAAAUAAUAAUAGCUGCUAUUUGAAAACAUAGUUUUCUUGAAAGUUAAAAUAGUAAUAGUCUUCUAAAAAUUUUGUUAGUUUUGGUUUUCUCUUUAAUCUGAAUUAUGUAUAAAAGUGCUUAUUUCAAAUUAGGUAGGCUUAUUUUAUUCCUUUUUCUGUCUUUUUUCUAUCAACUAGUGUUUUAUUGUGUUCAGAAAAUGCCAUGCAUUAAAAGACUACUUUUGAGAAUUUCUAGAGGUUUUCUUUAUUACUAAAGAGAUUUUUGUAAUUGUUACAUGGUAUUUUAAAAAGAAUGUAAAUUAUCCUUUUUGUCAAGUAUAAUGAUUUCUGAAACCUAGCUGUGUCAGAAUACUGUAUAAUACUGUAAUACUAUAUUGUUUUUGGCUAUGUGUACUUAUUUCUUAGAGUGGUAUGUUAAAGCCUCGACCUUGUGACUUUGUUUAUUUCCUCUCUACAUCUAAACAUUUCCAAGACAUGUUAUUUGCAAUACCAAGACCAUAACUAUUAUGUAUUUAAUCAAAAUAAAAUAUUU